rnacentral:rRNA from 1 species
AGUGAACGCUGGCGGUAGGCCUAACACAUGCAAGUCGAACGGCAGCACAGUAAGAGCUUGCUCUUACGGGUGGCGAGUGGCGGACGGGUGAGGAAUACGUCGGAAUCUACUUUUUCGUGGGGGAUAACGUAGGGAAACUUACGCUAAUACCGCAUACGACCUACGGGUGAAAGCAGGGGAUCUUCGGACCUUGCGCGAUUGAAUGAGCCGAUGUCGGAUUAGCUAGUUGGCGGGGUAAAGGCCCACCAAGGCGACGAUCCGUAGCUGGUCUGAGAGGAUGAUCAGCCACACUGGAACUGAGACACGGUCCAGACUCCUACGGGAGGCAGCAGUGGGGAAUAUUGGACAAUGGGCGCAAGCCUGAUCCAGCCAUACCGCGUGGGUGAAGAAGGCCUUCGGGUUGUAAAGCCCUUUUGUUGGGAAAGAAAAGCAGCAGGUUAAUACCCCGCUGUUCUGACGGUACCCAAGGAAUAAGCACCGGCUAACUUCGUG